rnacentral:tRNA from 1 species
GCGGUGGUGGCGGAAUUGGUAGACGCGCUAGCUUCAGGUGCUAGUGUCCGAAAGGAUGUGUGGGUUCGAGUCCCACCCUCCGCACCA